GUAAUUUCAGUAUUAUUAUUAUUAUUACUUGAUGUGUAUUUCGAAAUCGUGUUUUCACUUCCAUUUAUCUCUUUCUGCCUCUCUAUAGAUAGUCUUUUCAUGCAAUACCUUGUGAACUCUUGGAUUGGGCAGAAGAAGAAACAGGAGAUAUCACCUAUAUGUGAGAAGCAGGUAGGCAUCAUCUACAUAUAUACAAGCCUCUUCUUACCUCACUUUCAUCAUAUCUAUACCUAUAUAUCAUCAUUGGUGUAAUCGUCGUCGUCAUAUGAAGAAUGAUGGAGUAGAUUGGGUGGUCCAGUAUACCCUGUUUCUGGUCUCCUAUUUUUAUACAUAUAAAAACUGUUUUUUUGUUUUGUCUUUAGAUUACUACUUUAAAUGAUGGAUUUCCCUUUGAAGGAUGGUAAUGAGGAGAUACAUACCUAUAGAGUGUGUAUGUGAAAACGUCCAGUUAAAUUGUUUCAAACAUAAUAACAAAAAUAUAGUUUACCUAUCCUCAAGAAACAAAAUGUGGCAGGAGGAUGGUGUUUAUAUCAUGACAUCAUGGGCAGCUUCUAACCAACUUUAUUACCAUACAUACUACGGGUACCGUUGAGUCAAAGACAAAGGCAACACCACAUCCCAAUACGGAAUCACUUAAGGCUCAAGGAGUUUAUAAAAUAUUUUGAGGAUACUAUUAUUGAGGCUUGUGCCUCCCUUAAGUAUUGUUGGGCUCAAUGGCACUGGAACCAUGGAGGAAGACAAGGUGCCACUUUUUGGAAUUUAAAUAGUUAUCACAAUACAAAAAAUCCUCCUCUAUAAAAAAUUUUAAAUGUCAAAAUGUUUGAGAAAAAAUAAAGUUAUUUGUUCAAAUAAA
rnacentral:lncRNA from 1 species